GAUGAACGCUGGCGGCGUGCCUAAUACAUGCAAGUCGAGCGAACGGACGAGAAGCUUGCUUCUCUGAUGUUAGCGGCGGACGGGUGAGUAACACGUGGAUAACCUACCUAUAAGACUGGGAUAACUUCGGGAAACCGGAGCUAAUACCGGAUGAUAUUUUGAACCGCAUGGUUCAAAAGUGAAAGACGGUCUUGCUGUCACUUAUAGAUGGAUCCGCGCUGCAUUAGCUAGUUGGUAAGGUAACGGCUUACCAAGGCAACGAUGCAUAGCCGACCUGAGAGGGUGAUCGGCCACACUGGAACUGAGACACGGUCCAGACUCCUACGGGAGGCAGCAGUAGGGAAUCUUCCGCAAUGGGCGAAAGCCUGACGGAGCAACGCCGCGUGAGUGAUGAAGGUCUUCGGAUCGUAAAACUCUGUUAUUAGGGAAGAACAUAUGUGUAAGUAAGUGUGCACAUCUUGACGGUACCUAAUCAGAAAGCCACGGCUAACUACGUG
rnacentral:rRNA from 1 species